ACAUGCAAGUCGAACGAACUCUGGUAUUGAUUGGUGCUUGCAUCAUGAUUUACAUUUGAGUGAGUGGCGAACUGGUGAGUAACACGUGGGAAACCUGCCCAGAAGCGGGGGAUAACACCUGGAAACAGAUGCUAAUACCGCAUAACAACUUGGACCGCAUGGUCCGAGCUUGAAAGAUGGCUUCGGCUAUCACUUUUGGAUGGUCCCGCGGCGUAUUAGCUAGAUGGUGGGGUAACGGCUCACCAUGGCAAUGAUACGUAGCCGACCUGAGAGGGUAAUCGGCCACAUUGGGACUGAGACACGGCCCAAACUCCUACGGGAGGCAGCAGUAGGGAAUCUUCCACAAUGGACGAAAGUCUGAUGGAGCAACGCCGCGUGAGUGAAGAAGGGUUUCGGCUCGUAAAACUCUGUUGUUAAAGAAGAACAUAUCUGAGAGUAACUGUUCAGGUAUUGACGGUAUUUAACCAGAAAGCCACGGCUAACUACGUGCCAGCAGCCGCGGUAAUACGUAGGUGGCAAGCGUUGUCCGGAUUUAUUGGGCGUAAAGCGAGCGCAGGCGGUUUUUUAAGUCUGAUGUGAAAGCCUUCGGCUCAACCGAAGAAGUGCAUCGGAAACUGGGAAACUUGAGUGCAGAAGAGGACAGUGGAACUCCAUGUGUAGCGGUGAAAUGCGUAGAUAUAUGGAAGAACACCAGUGGCGAAGGCGGCUGUCUGGUCUGUAACUGACGCUGAGGCUCGAAAGUAUGGGUAGCAAACAGGAUUAGAUACCCUGGUAGUCCAUACCGUAAACGAUGAAUGCUAAGUGUUGGAGGGUUUCCGCCCUUCAGUGCUGCAGCUAACGCAUUAAGCAUUCCGCCUGGGGAGUACGGCCGCAAGGCUGAAACUCAAAGGAAUUGACGGGGGCCCGCACAAGCGGUGGAGCAUGUGGUUUAAUUCGAAGCUACGCGAAGAACCUUACCAGGUCUUGACAUACUAUGCAAAUCUAAGAGAUUAGACGUUCCCUUCGGGGACAUGGAUACAGGUGGUGCAUGGUUGUCGUCAGCUCGUGUCGUGAGAUGUUGGGUUAAGUCCCGCAACGAGCGCAACCCUUAUUAUCAGUUGCCAGCAUUAAGUUGGGCACUCUGGUGAGACUGCCGGUGACAAACCGGAGGAAGGUGGGGAUGACGUCAAAUCAUCAUGCCCCUUAUGACCUGGGCUACACACGUGCUACAAUGGAUGGUACAACGAGUUGCGAACUCGCGAGAGUAAGCUAAUCUCUUAAAGCCAUUCUCAGUUCGGAUUGUAGGCUGCAACUCGCCUACAUGAAGUCGGAAUCGCUAGUAAUCGCGGAUCAGCAUGCCGCGGUGAAUACGUUCCCGGGCCUUGUACACACCGCCCGUCACACCAUGAGAGUUUGUAACACCCAAAGUCGGUGGGGUAACCUUUUAGGAACCAGCCGCCUAAGGUGGGACAGAUGAUUAGGGUG
rnacentral:rRNA from 1 species